rnacentral:siRNA from 1 species
AGCCGACCAAUACUUGAUAUAGGC